UACGUAGGGACCAAGCGUUGUUCGGAUUUACUGGGCGUAAAGGGCGCGUAGGCGGCAUGACAAGUCACUUGUGAAAUCUCUGGGCUUAACCCAGAACGGCCAAGUGAUACUGUCGCGCUAGAGUGCAGAAGGGGCAAUCGGAAUUCUUGGUGUAGCAGUGAAAUGCGUAGAUAUCGUAAGGAAGACCAGUGGCGAAGGCGAGUCUCUGGACAGUUACUGACACUGAGGCACGAAGGCCAGGGGAGCAAACGGG
rnacentral:rRNA from 1 species